rnacentral:lncRNA from 1 species
AUCAGCCCAUAUCACCAUUUAUUUUUCAGAGACCAAAGAAAAUGACAGAAGUUUCCCUAUUCUUUCAUGUACCUUUCUACCAGAAUACUCUCUAUUUACAAGCACCACACAGACUAUUUCCUCUUGGCGGGAGGUUGGACACAGCAAUCCUCGCCGCGAGCUGCAGAAGAACCACACACGCACAUACGUCAGGCCAGGAGACACGAACACGGGCGCCAUGAGGGGGGAACGGACCGGACCGGAAAAUGAGCAGGCAGGAAAAUGAACAGAGGUUUGUGGACUACCUCUUCACGCCACGCCAUAUCCUCAUCCCUAGCGCUUGGCCUACAUUGUGCCGUCUACAUAUCUAUCUCCUUUGACUACCUCUUCCCGCAACGCCUUGUGCAUACCUUGUCCUACACCGGUUGGUAGUCUCACCCUUGCAUUGUGCAGCUAUAGCUGUCCAGCUAACAAAUGGAAGGAACCAAUUUCAUCAGCUUGAGAAGGCCUGCUGCAGGUGACAAUAAUUCAUACUUAUUAACACCAUGGUGUGAAAUUUUAUCACAAAAGCAAAUAGGUGGAAGCAUAAGGAAGCAAUUCAACAACUUUUGCAGAGGCACUCAUGGGAUAAAAUCCAAAACAUCAAAAUUAGUCUGUUAUGUUUUUGGGAGAUAUAUAGGACUCAAGAAACUGAGAAACAUCAAAAGUAGUCUGUUAUUCAAAUACAGAACUCUAGAUAUUACACAUUCACUUAAGGCGUCACUGAUUGAGAACAGUUUUUGGAUCUCUCACCAGCUAGUAUGCAGGGUUCGUACGCCAAGUGAUACUGAUGAUUACAACCAAUCAACCUAAUAGCUAACACAUGAAUAAUUAUAUUAAAUCAUACUGGUUAAUAUCACCAAUUCAGGAUAGUACACGACAUGACAGAAGUAUUCUAAAUACCAGACAAAAACAAGUGCAGCCUCUCUAAAUGUUUAUCAGAAGGCUGGUACAAAUUACAAACAAGGAAAAGCUGGUUGACAUAUAUGGCUAUCAUGCAUUUUCUGAAACAUGCUUUCAUGGUUGACCACAAUAAGUUUCAAAUGCUUUCUUCUUUCUAUUCGGGGUCAAUUGGAAGCAUUCAACAAUCAAACAAAUGCGAAAAAGGUACAUAAGCUUCAUUCCAAAUGUAAUACAUGUAUAUUGGAGCUAUAAAGAAGGCUAUAUCGUCAUUUUACAUGACUCAGGCCUCAAAACAACUUUACUUGCCAGUGUGCCAAGCAUCUAUCAGUAAUAUUUCCAAACUGCAACAGUAAACACAUCGCAAUGUGAAGCAUGGCAGUGUCAAAAUAACCAAGAUAUUAUAACAUGCUCUCAAACCUGAAAAAUGCGAUAAUAAGACUACAUAAGAGACCUAAUUGCUUAGAAUAACACUUUAGUAUCACCAUCUAAAAUAGUACGUCAUCAUAAAUGAUCUAUCCUCUCAUCAGUAGGUACUAUACCAUCUGCCAUGGCUGGAAAAGACCAUACGCAUCAUAAUCAAUCACCUGGAGGUAAUCUGCAUGCAAAUAGUCCAGACAUCUCUCUUGGUGUUGCUCGUGAUCAACACAAGAUGUACCGGG